UAUUAUCAUUAUGUUGCUUCCACUGGUUGUCAUGCAGUAUAUUUUCUGUUUUGUUUAUUAGAACUGAAUACUAUUUACAAUGAAAAAAUUGAAGAAAAAUGCUGACAGUAUAACAUAGAAGGAGCUUAAUUUUUUCCUACCACCAUGGAUCCCAAAGCUGUAUUUUCCUUACAAUUGGAUCCAUUGAACACAUUUUCCAAGAUGUGGUAUCAUGUCUUCCUUUGGGCCUUGUUUUCAUCAGUUUUAGUGCACACCGUUGCAGCAUUAAUAGCAUUUUUAACCCUGAGGAAGCAUAAAUUUGGAAAAUAUUUUCCAAUAGCAAUACUUUUUAUGGGUGUUUUAACACCUGCACUGACUGGCAUUGUAAGUAGUGCUGCAAUUGCAUUUGUGUAUAGAGCAUCAAGUUAUCCAAUGAAUCCUCUAUAUGCAUUAUUUUGGGGCUGUGGUCAAACAUUCAUUAUGGGUUGUAUGGGCUUUACACGGAUACUGGCAACUUUGUAAUUUAAUAUUACUAUUAAUGAUAAGAACUUGAUGGUGUUGUGGCCCAAAAUAUACAAAUAGCACAUGUGAUUCAAGUUUGGGAGAUACCAAAACUAUCAUUUUUUUAUUAAGAUCUAGUGUCAUAUUAAUUUUAUAUGUAUUAACAGUAAAGACUAUUUUUUUAAGAAGAAACUAAAGCUGAAAUGUUUUCAUAUACUUAUUUAGAAUAUAUGAAUAACACUUUUUGAAAGAAUUUUCAGAAUCAUAUUUAUUGUCUAAGAUAAAUCAUAAAUUUGUAUUUAUUUGUCAUAUAGGAUUUUUAUCAAUACUUUAAUUCCAAAUUUUUUUCCAUCGAACAAUAAGGUGUCAUUAUUGUAUAAAUCAUUCAAUAUAUGUUCUUACUUGAUUAUAAUAUAUUAAAAUAGAAUACAUUUCAAAAAAUUGAUUUUUAAAUUAGUUAUAAUUUGCAUAGGAAAUUUCAUGUAGUCUUUAUUAUCAAAUAUAAUUUUACAACUUCAAAAUGUGCUAUAUAUAGUUGGGCUAGUUAGACAUUUUUUACAUAAAUGUUAUUGGUGCUAAGCAUAGUAUAGAAAAAGAAGCAAACAUUUUGUAUAUUUAUUUUUUAGUUUAAUUGUAUAUUUCUUAUCUGAGCGAUGUAAAAACACUUUUGUAGAGUAGCUAUGUAUAUAUGCACUGUACAAAAGCUAGUUCAUAAGUUUUAAGAAAUAGUGAAAGCCUAAGUCAAUAGAUUAUGUAUUUUCUGUUAUGUUAUCAAAAUAAUGAAAAUAUAAAAUUUCUUUAUAUGUUU